AUUGAACGCUGGCGGCAGGCCUAACACAUGCAAGUCGAACGGUAGCACAGAGAGCUUGCUCUCGGGUGACGAGUGGCGGACGGGUGAGUAAUGUCUGGGAAACUGCCCGAUGGAGGGGGAUAACUACUGGAAACGGUAGCUAAUACCGCAUGACGUCGCAAGACCAAAGUGGGGGACCUUCGGGCCUCACACCAUCGGAUGUGCCCAGAUGGGAUUAGCUAGUAGGUGGGGUAAUGGCUCACCUAGGCGACGAUCCCUAGCUGGUCUGAGAGGAUGACCAGCCAAACUGGAACUGAGACACGGUCCAGACUCCUACGGGAGGCAGCAGUGGGGAAUAUUGCACAAUGGGCGCAAGCCUGAUGCAGCCAUGCCGCGUGUAUGAAGAAGGCCUUCGGGUUGUAAAGUACUUUCAGCGGGGAGGAAGGCGGUGAGGUUAAUAACCUUGCCGAUUGACGUUACCCGCAGAAGAAGCACCGGCUAACUCCGUGCCAGCCGCCGCCGUAA
rnacentral:rRNA from 1 species